CCCUUAGAUGUUCUGGGCCGCACGCGUGCUACACUGAGUAAUUCAAUGGGUAAGGGAACGCUAGAGCAUUACCUAAUCUUGAAAUUUGCUCGUGAUGGGGAUCGACGGUUGCAAUUUUCCGUCGUGAACGAGGAAUACCUUGUAGGCGCAGGUCAUCAUCAUGCGCCGAAUACGUCCCUGCCCUUUGUACACACCGCCCGUCGCUCCUACCGAUUGAGUGAUCCGGUGAGGCUCUGGGACCUGGACGGAAAGAGCGUUUCGCUUGUUCUGUUUGGGAAACUUGGUCGAACCUUAUCAUUUAGAGGAAGGAGAAGUCGUAACA
rnacentral:rRNA from 1 species